rnacentral:rRNA from 1 species
GCAAGUCGAACGGGGUUUAUAUAACAGAACUCUCCGGAGGGAAGAUAUAUAAACCUAGUGGCGGACGGGUGAGUAACGCGUGGGCAACCUGCCCUGUACCGGGGGACAACAGCCAGAAAUGGCUGCUAAUACCGCAUAAGCCUGCUGUGCCGCAUGGCACAGCAGGGAAAACCACGGUGGUACAGGAUGGGCCCGCGUCUGAUUAGUUAGUUGGCAGGGUAACGGCCUACCAAGACAACGAUCAGUAGCCGGCUUGAGAGAGUGGACGGCCACAUUGGGACUGAGACACGGCCCAGACUCCUGCGGGAGGCAGCAGUGGGGAAUAUUGCACAAUGGGGGGAACCCUGAUGCAGCAAUGCCGCGUGGGUGAAGAAGCACUCCGGUGCGUAAAGCCCUGUCAGCAGGGAAGAAAAUGACAGUACCUGGACAAGAAGCCCCGGCUAACUACGUGCCAGCAGCCGCGGUAAUACGUAGGGGGCAAGCGUUAUCCGGAUUUACUGGGUGUAAAGGGAGCGCAGGCGGCGUGGCAAGUCAGAUGUGAAAACCCGGGGCCCGACCCCGGGAGUGCAUUUGAAACUGCCAUGCUGGUGUGCCGUAGAGGUAAGCGGAAUUCCUAGUGUAGCGGUGAAAUGCGUAGAUAUUUUUAGGAACACCAGUGGCGGAGGCGGCUUACUGGACGGUAACUGACGCUGAGGCUCGAAAGCGUG